rnacentral:rRNA from 1 species
ACGAACGCUGGCGGCAGGCUUAACACCUGCAAGUCGAACGCACCUUUCGGGGUGAGUGGCCGACGGGUGAGUAACGCGUGGGAAUCUACCCUUCUCUACGGGAUAGCUCCGGGAAACUGGAAUUAAUACCGUAUACGUCCUGAGGGAGAAAGAUUUAUCGGGGAAGGAUGAGCCCGCGUUGGAUUAGCUAGUUGGUGGGGUAAAGGCCUACCAAGGCGACGAUCCAUAGCUGGUCUAAGAGGAUGAUCAGCCACAUUGGGACUGAGACACGGCCCAAACUCCUACGGGAGGCAGCAGUGGGGAAUAUUGGACAAUGGGCGCAAGCCUGAUCCAGCCAUGCCGCGUGAGUGAUGAAGGCCCUAGGGUUGUAAAGCUCUUUCAGGGGGGACGAUAAUGACGGUACCCACAGAAGAAGCCCCGGCUAACUUCGUG